UAUUAAUUUCAAUCGAAUUAACCUUCUAUUCGAAAAGCAGCAUCUUUUCAUAACUUGCAGACUCAGAUGAAGCUAUCUGAAGAAUACUUUCCAUCAGAACUCUCUUAUUCUUAAAGACAUUACCCUUCACCUUCAUUAAAUGAUAAGAGAGUUAAACUCUCUUGUUUUUGNNNNNNNNNNNNNNNNNNNNNNNNNNNNNNNNAAGACAUUUAAAACCUGGCACUAUUUAAAGCCAUUUAACAAACUUUUUAGUAAUGAAUGUCUUUGGAAUUAGAGAUGAAAACAUGUUUUAGCUCAAGCUAAAAUAUGGGAUAACAGCCACAUACUCUCUCUCUUGAACUACUCAUCUUCUUCUUUCACUAUAGAAACACAAACAUAACAACCAAACCAUACCAAACUCAUAAAAUCUAGUCCAAAUCCCUUACUCCCUCUUAAUAGAAAAUGACUCUUUUAUAAAAGAAGGAACCAUGAAAUUAUCCUUCACUAGAGCUACAAUCAGCAACACUUCUUUUCAUUUAUUUAUCCAUCUCUCACGAGCUCUCUCAACAUCCACAAUGACUCAUUUCUUAUUUAGCUCUCAAAAUGAUGGAGGAUCCUUUGGAUGCAUGCCUCCCCCACGAAAUUUCACUUAUAUGGUAGAAAGAAGGAGUUAUUGUUUUGUAAAAUGGAAUGAAGCAUGGAGAUUGGAGGAUUUGGAAAUAAUGGGUUGUAUAUUGGAAUGAAAGCAAAGACUUAUGAGUAGAAAGCUUGUCAAAAUAAGAAGAGUAUUCCGNNNNNNNNNNNNNNNNNNNNNNNNNNNNNNNNNNUGGAUUUGGUAGCCAUAAUUUGUAAGAAGGUUUUUUUUUAUGAUAAUUGUAAGAAGUUAUAUAGUGAUAAUUUGAUAUAUUGAUAAUUAAAAUGAUUUAAUUAAAGGAGAUGAUAAAAAAGAUUUUUAAUAGAGAUUGUAAACUUUUCUUAUAGAGUGCCACAUCAUCAAAAUACUUGAUUGUAAAAAAUAUAUUUUGUGGUUAUAUUGGUCCCUUUUAAUUCAUUUAGGAACCAAUUAACUUGCAAUGAAGAGAGAUAGACGUUUUUUUUUUUUAUUAAAUUCAGCUCUUUAAAGGAUUGAUCAAAGAGGUUUGGAAUAUCAAAGUGACUCACUUGCUUGAAAUAUAAUGAUUCCUUUUUUUAUUAGUAUUAUUAUUAUUAUUAUUGAAUGAAAGAUUUCCAAUAGUCAUGAAUAUUUUGUGGUUAUAUAAAUCUUAUAUAUUAGUUGGUCCAUUUAAAUUUAAUAAUUUUUCAUUUUAGUUAGUUGGAUAUAGGAACCAAUUAACUAUGCAUUGAAGAGAAUUCCAAUAGUCUUAGACACACUUUUUUUUUCUUAGUAUUGAAAGAAUAUAUUUUGUGGUUAUAUUGGUCCCUUUUAAUUCAUUUAGGAACCAAUUAACUUGCAAUGAAGAGAGA
rnacentral:lncRNA from 1 species